rnacentral:lncRNA from 1 species
AACUCUAACGAGUUUAGAGAGAGAGAAAGAGAAGAAGAGAAAAGAAAAGAGAAGAGGCAGAAGAAUAGAGAGAAGAAGAGAGACAAAGAAGAGAUGAGGCAGAAGAAUAGAGAGAAGAAGGGUUAGUGGUUGAGGGGGAGAUAGGACUGGUUUUUCCUUGCUCUCUUCUUAGUUCACUCUUCUCACAGUAGCAGAAACCCUAAUUUUUGAAUCCAUGUCCUUUUUUUAUUUUCUUCUGUUAUAUCCGGUCUUGGAGCUGUUGUUUUUUGGCAAAAUUUGGAAGAGGAGAUGGCAACAACCAGGAAUGUAGUGCCCCUAAUCAGAGGGAAUAGAUCAUUUUAGGGUUUAUUUAUUUUGUGGUGAAUUAUCUGAAAUUUUAGCUGCUUGCUCGUGUAGAAUCUAGUUUGUUUUUUCAUCAGGAAGGAAUUUUUUUGGACUCACAGGAAAUUUUUAUAUUCUAGUGUGAAUUCUCUGAAAUUUGAGUUUUGGAGCUGUUGUUUUUUGGCAAAGCUUGGAAGAGGAGAUGGCAACAACCGGGAAUGUAGUGCCCCUAAUCAGAGGUAAUAGAUCGUUUUACGGUUCCUUUAUUUUAUGGUGAAUUCUCUGAAAUAUUAGCUGCUUGCUCGCGUAGAAUCUAGUUUGUUUUUUCAUCAGGAAGGAAAUUUGUUUGACGCACAGGAAAUUUUUAUAUUCUAUAGUGAAUUCUCUGAAAUUUGAGUUUUUGACUCAGAGGUUCAUUGCAACUGAUUCUGUGAAAUUUUCACAAAAUUGAUUCAUAGUCAGUUUCUUUUAAAAUAUUCUGUUAGAAAUCUUAGAAUACUUAGUGUUAUUUUCUUCUCUGUCUGAUGUAUUUUCAGGAAAAUUUCCUUAAUCAGUUUUAGGUUUUCAUUGGCUCAGUUGUUUUAUUUUGUGGCCUCACGAUUUCUUCCAUGGCCAUUUAUUCUUUGUUUUUCCAUAUUUUUAAAGAAUCUAUGUUCCAUGGCCCUAGUAACAGAGGCAUGACUAUUAGGAUUUAUUUUUUAUUCUGUACGUAAGGGUUACUUUCUUCUUCUAAAACUUGUUCUAACCUAAAAUGGGUUCAAGUGUUUUUCAUAUUUUUGAGGUCACAACUACUAUUCUUAGAUGCCCUUUUUCUUUAUCUGGUUGUGCUCUGGAGAAAGACUUCCAGAUUUAGUUUUAGGAUUUCACUGGCUCAGUUUUUUUUAUUUUGUGGUCUCAAGGGUUCUUCCACAGCCAAUUGUUCUUUUGUUUCAGCCUAAUUUUUGCAUUCCCUAUCUCUUUCUCACGAAGCUUUUUUAACACUCCAAUUCCUGUUUUUGACUAGAAUUCUUUUAUAACAAGAAAUCUCUCCCUCUGAUCUACUGGCUAGUUACAAGGUCAGUUAAGAACCCAUUCAUAUUUAUUUCUUGUAGAAUCACCUCUCUCUCCCCCCUUUCCUUAAGAGUUGGAUUCUCUCUCUCUCUCUCUCUUGAAAUCUCAAAUUGCAUUUCUCUUUUGGUUUUCAAGAGUUUUGGAGCUUUUGGCCAAUGUACAGGUGGCUGUUACAGCCAAUAAGGUAAAUGAAUAGAUUCCCCUCCUCCCUUCCUUUUUUAUUAUUUUCCUCUUACUGGCCAAUGCACAGGUGGCUGUUGCAGCCAAUAAGGUAAAUGAACAGAUGCCUCCCAACCUUUUUGAUUAUUUUCCUCUCAAUUAUUACCAUUCGAAUCAUUAAGUUCCCUAUGAAUGAUUUUUCCUUCUAUAUUCAAAUUUCCAAACAGUAAUAAAAUCAGGCAUUAAAGAAGGAGAUUAUUUCUUCUGGCUAUCACUCUAAUCAGAUAAGCCUAGGCGAAAUUCCAUAUUAUUUUGUAUAGAAUUAGGCAUAAGAAUGACUUUCUUCUCUUGAUGAAGGGUAUGCUAAAUACCCAAUUGUGAUAGUUCAUCAAAAUUUUUCAUCUUAUUUGUACUUGUUUUUAUUAGUUUUGAUGAGCUUCAUCUUCAUCGAGUUUGCUUCUAAAUCAACAAGCAUGAAAGCAACUUAUCAUCGAGGUGGAACUCUUUACGUUAUUCGAUAUUUGAGAUCUUGAUCUUGUAAGCUUGAUUUGCUUAAUGGUUCUUUCUUCUCUAGUAUAGUAGUGCUCUUUCUUCUUUCAUGUAAAUAUGGAGUGAAUUUUCUGGAGCUUUACUUGUGGUUUGCAAUUUUAUCAAGUAACUUUUCUUAACACACACACACACUCUUGCUUCUUUCAUGCAAAUGGAGUGAAUUUUUUGGAGCUUUACUUGUGGUUUGCAAUUUUUUUUAAGAACUUUUUCUUAACACACACACACACCAUACACCACACGCACACACUCACACUCACACUCACACACACACACUCACACUCACACUCACACUCACACUCACACUCACACUCACACUCACACUCACACACACACACUCACACUCACACUCACACUCACACUCACACUCACACUCACA